rnacentral:tRNA from 1 species
GGGGAAUUAGCUCAGCUGGCUAGAGUACUUGCCUGGCAGGCAAGGGGUCACCGGUUCGAAUCCGGUAUUCUCCA